UUCCGGUUGAUCCUGCCGGACCCGACUGCUAUUUGGGUGAGAAUAAGCCAUGCGAGUUGAAUGGAAUACCUAAAUUUUCCAUGGCAAACUGCUCAGUAACACAUGAUCAACUUACCCUAUAGAGAAAAAUAACCUCGGGAAACUGAGGAUAAUGUUUCAUAGUUGAAAAGGCUUGGAAAAGUUUUUCAAUCAAAAGGAUAAAAAAAAUGGUUUUUAUCCGCUAUAGGAUAGGACCGUGCUCGAUUAUGGUUGUUGGUGAGGUAAUGGCUCACCAAGCCGAUAAUCGAUAGGGGCCGUGAGAGCGGGAGCCCCGAGAUGGGUACUGAGACAACGACCCAGGCCUUACGAGGCGCAGCAGGCGCGAAACCUCCGCAAUACACGAAAGUGUGACGGGGUUACCCAAAGUGUUCAGUUUUGAACUGUGGUAGGUGAGUAAUGUCCCCUACUAGAAAGGAGAGGGCAAGGCUGGUGCCAGCCGCCGCGGUAAAACCAGCUCUUCAAGUGGUCGGGAUAAUUAUUGGGCUUAAAGUGUCCGUAGCCGGCUUAGUAAGUUCCUGGUAAAAUCGGGUAGCUUAACUAUCUGUAUGCUAGGAAUACUGCUAAACUAGAGGGCGGGAGAGGUCUGAGGUACUACAGGGGUAGGGGUGAAAUCUUAUAAUCCUUGUAGGACCACCAGUGGCGAAGGCGUCAGACUGGAACGUGCCUGACGGUGAGGGACGAAAGCCAGGGGAGCGAACCGGAUUAGAUACCCGGGUAGUCCUGGCCGUAAACGAUGCAUACUAGGUGAUGGCAUGGCCAUGAGCCGUGUCAGUGCCGUAGGGAAACCGUUAAGUAUGCCGCCUGGGAAGUACGGUCACAAGGCUAAAACUUAAAGGAAUUGGCGGGGGAGCACCACAAGGGGUGAAGCCUGCGGUUCAAUUGGAUUCAACGCCGGA
rnacentral:rRNA from 1 species